GAUGGCGACCGGCGCACGGGUGAGUAACACGUAUCCAACCUGCCGAUGACUCGGGGAUAGCCUUUCGAAAGAAAGAUUAAUACCCGAUGGCAUAGUUCUUCCGCAUGGUGGAACUAUUAAAGAAUUUCGGCCAUCGAUGGGGAUGCGUUCCAUUAGGUUGUUGGCGGGGUAACGGCCCACCAAGCCUUCGAUGGAUAGGGGUUCUGAGAGGAAGGUCCCCCCACAUUGGAACUGAGACACGGUCCAAACUCCUACGGGAGGCAGCAUG
rnacentral:rRNA from 1 species